rnacentral:rRNA from 1 species
AUCUUUUAGAUGACGAAGUGGUUGAUGCCAUGCUUCCAAGAAAAGCUUCUAAGCUUCAGGUAACCAGGAACCGUACCCCAAACCGACACAGGUGGUUGGGUAGAGAAUACCAAGGCGCUUGAGAGAACUCGGGUGAAGGAACUAGGCAAAAUGGCACCGUAACUUCGGGAGAAGGUGCGCCGGUGAGGGUGAAGGACUUGCUCCGUAAGCUCAUGCCGGUCGAAGAUACCAGGCCGCUGCGACUGUUUAUUAAAAACACAGCACUCUGCAAACACGAAAGUGGACGUAUAGGGUGUGACGCCUGCCCGGUGCCGGAAGGUUAAUUGAUGGGGUUAGCUAACGCGAAGCUCUUGAUCGAAGCCCCGGUAAACGGCGGCCGUAACUAUAACGGUCCUAAGGUAGCGAAAUUCCUUGUCGGGUAAGUUCCGACCUGCACGAAUGGCGUAACGAUGGCGGCGCUGUCUCCACCCGAGACUCAGUGAAAUUGAAAUCGCUGUGAAGAUGCAGUGUAUCCGCGGCUAGACGGAAAGACCCCGUGAACCUUUACUAUAGCUUUGCACUGGACUUUGAAUUUGCUUGUGUAGGAUAGGUGGGAGGCUUUGAAGCGUGGACGCCAGUUCGCGUGGAGCCAACCUUGAAAUACCACCCUGGCAACUUUGAGGUUCUAACUCAGGUCCGUUAUCCGGAUCGAGGACAGUGUAUGGUGGGUAGUUUGACUGGGGCGGUCUCCUCCUAAAGAGUAACGGAGGAGUACGAAGGUGCGCUCAGACCGGUCGGAAAUCGGUCGUAGAGUAUAAAGGCAAAAGCGCGCUUGACUGCGAGACAGACACGUCGAGCAGGUACGAAAGUAGGUCUUAGUGAUCCGGUGGUUCUGUAUGGAAGGGCCAUCGCUCAACGGAUAAAAGGUACUCCGGGGAUAACAGGCUGAUACCGCCCAAGAGUUCAUAUCGACGGCGGUGUUUGGCACCUCGAUGUCGGCUCAUCACAUCCUGGGGCUGAAGCCGGUCCCAAGGGUAUGGCUGUUCGCCAUUUAAAGUGGUACGCGAGCUGGGUUUAGAACGUCGUGAGACAGUUCGGUCCCUAUCUGCCGUGGACGUUUGAGAUUUGAGAGGGGCUGCUCCUAGUACGAGAGGACCGGAGUGGACGAACCUCUGGUGUUCCGGUUGUCACGCCAGUGGCAUUGCCGGGUAGCUAUGUUCGGAAUAGAUAACCGCUGAAAGCAUCUAAGCGGGAAACUAGCCUCAAGAUGAGAUCUCACUGGGACCUUGAGUCCCCUGAAGGGCCGUCGAAGACUACGACGUUGAUAGGUUGGGUGUGUAAGCGCUGUGAGGCGUUGAGCUAACCAAUACUAAUUGCCCGUGAGGCUUGACCAU